rnacentral:tRNA from 1 species
UGGGGUUGGCCUAGUGGUUGGCUUGGGAUCUUGGAGUUUGCUCCUCCAAAGGUCUCAGGUUCGAUUCCUUCUGGUGCCAA